rnacentral:rRNA from 1 species
UACGGGGGGUGCGAGCGUUGUCCGGAAUCACUGGGCGUAAAGGGCGCGUAGGUGGUCUUAUAAGGGGGUGGUGAAAGCCCGGGGCUCAACCCCGGGUCGGCCGUGCCGACUGUAAGACUAGAGUGCUGUAGGGGCAGGCGGAAUUCCGGGUGUAGCGGUGGAAUGCGUAGAGAUCCGGAGGAAGACCGGUGGCGAAGGCGGCCUGCUGGGCAGUUACUGACACUGAGGCACGAAAGCCAGGGUAGCAAACGGG